rfam:Salinisphaera shabanensis E1L3A Contig14, whole genome shotgun sequence.
UGCGUAUUUUGCCCAGGCGGAGCUCGACCGCCGAGGCAAGUGAUGGUCGAUUUCAUCGACGACCAUCGUCGGGUUUACGGUGUCGAGCCGAUCUGCCGGAUAGUGCCGAUCGCACCG